UGAGAAGGAAGGAAGCAGAAUGGAGAGCCAGGAGACCUGGAGAAGGCACAUGGAUCUGAGAGACAUGUGACGAAACUACACUUGCCUUUUGGUUGUGAACUGGUUGACACAGAUGUGGGAAGAGGCCACAUGGGCACACUGAGAUGGCAGCCCUCUGCAGACUGAGAUAUCCACUCCCAGCAUGAAAUCACCUUGUCAGCAGUUUGACUCGCCAUCCAGGCUUCUAGAAGGCACACAGACCAGAUCCCACACUGUGAUUGGUGAUUGGCUCUCUUCCUGGGGGGCCUGGCCUGCUGACUCCAUGAAUAU